rnacentral:rRNA from 1 species
UACGUAGGUGGCAAGCGUUGUCCGGAUUUAUUGGGUUUAAAGGGUGCGUAGGCGGCCCUGUAAGUCAGUGCUGAAAUAUCCCGGCUUAACCGGGAGGGUGGCAUUGAUACUGCAGGGCUUGAGUAAAGUUGAGGUAGGCGGAAUUGACGGUGUAGCGGUGAAAUGCUUAGAUAUCGUCAAGAACACCGAUAGUGUAGACAGCUUACUAAGCUUUAACUGACGCUGAGGCACGAACGUGUGGGGAUCAAACAGG